GUGAAUCAUCAAAUCUUUGAACGCAAAUUGCACUCUCUGGUAUUCCGGAGAGUAUGCCUGUUUGAGGGUCAGUUUAAAUAAAAAUCGGUGUGGUUGCUGCCUUUCGUGGUGACGCACCGGAUUUGGGUCGUUUUGCCUUCGGUUAAGUGACCUUAAAUUUUGCAUGAUUUUUUUCGAACGUAUUUAAAUAAUUUACGUACGGUUGUAAUAUUGGAUAUUAGGUGUGA
rnacentral:misc_RNA from 1 species